GUCACAUCUGUAAAGAAACCAUAUUCUUAAUAGGUGCAAAUGGAAAUAAAGCGAAAGUGAUCCUACGCUCCGAUGCCCUCCACAUCAAAAUAAUACCCAGGGAAAUUUGGCGAAUGGAAGAGCCCACUGAUGCGUUCGCUGCUGUUGUAGACGAAAGUGCAUUCCUCGCCCUGUUGGACGCCCGACAUGAUGCCAAAAUCUAUAAAAGUGGAUACUUUCCAAA
rnacentral:sRNA from 1 species